rnacentral:rRNA from 1 species
UACGUAGGGGGCGAGCGUUGUUCCGGAAUCAUUGGGGCGUAAAGAGCGUGUAGGCGGCUUGGCAAAGUCUGACGUGAAAGCCCGCGGCUCAACCGCGGAUUUGUCGUUGGAAACUGCCUCGCUAGAGUCCGGAAGAGGAGAGCGGAAUUCCUGGUGUAGCGGUGGAAUGCGCAGAUAUCAGGAAGAACACCGGUGGCGAAGGCGGGAUCCUGGGCCAGUACUGACGCUGAGGAGCGAA